rnacentral:lncRNA from 1 species
AUCAUCAUUUCUUCGACUAUGUCUUCUUCCUCUAUCAUGUGCAGCCCUCUGGUUCCUCCGACCUCCUCUUCUUCCAUCACUAUCUUCUCUAUCUCCAAUAUGGUUGCUUGCACUAUCAUGAGGUGGACGAUGCCUUCUGAUUUCAGUCAUAAGAUUCUAAAGAUCUUGUGUCAACCUCUCUUGCUUUUCUUCCAUGCUUUGUCGGAGUUUAUUAAAUUGUGCUAUGGUAACACGAUCUUUGAUGUCCACUCGACCCAUCUUCCUGUAAGGUUAGCUGAAUACAAAUAAUUUGUAUUUGUGGAAUAUGAAAAUUUGGUGGCUCUCACAACUCACCUCUCUAACCACCAAGGCUCUUAUGAAUUCCUCUGCUGCAGAUUACAAGGAAAACAAAUGUGUGGUGGCAACUGAAAGUGAUGGCGAGGCGAAUACAAGAACAGAGAGUACCGAUUACGAUGGUUUUUAUGUGGAGAUUGGUGGGGAGUAAUACACAAGGAAUGCAAUCUGAAUUCUAGUUGUUGUAAAGUUAAGUAACGAUCCAAACUAGAAGUUCUCUGCCUAGUGCUGAUCAAAAGAUUCGAAGUGUAUAAAUAGAUCACACACACAAAGAAAUUUCAGAAUUGAUGCAAACAAAGAGUAUGAUUGGGAUGCAAGUGUUGUAAUCAGACCCAACCAAAGUUUUGCACCAAACAAAGAUAGCAAACUGGUUGUAGAACUUGAUAUGAAACUUUUAGCACUUCUGCACAUAAACCAACUAAUCUUUCAGAAUUUCUCUCUGAACCUUUCUCAACUUUUUUUUUCACUUCACUUUUUUUUGCACUUUCUUUUUUGACACACUUUUUUUAUAUAUAUACAACUAAAAAUAGGGAUCAGAUUAUGAUACUUGCACAACUAGAGAUAGAAAAAAACAACAACCAGUAGCUAGAUAGGAUCAAAGUUAACACAAAGGAUGAUAUAGGCUAUAGAGAUUUUUUUUGUGGGGAUUUUUAGAUAUAAAAGAGGCACAAAGAACACGCGAAGGAUAAAUGAUCAGCAACUAAAACAAAGACUCUAAUGGACUGUGACUUAACCAAACUCACUAAAAUAACAGAUUGAAACAAAGGUCUAAGCAAUAUAUUUUUCUGGCUUUUUGGUGGAU